CUUAACUGCCAGGAUGCAAGUAUAGUGCUGCAAGUGUGAGAGCACACAACAACUCAGAAGGGGCAAGAAAGAUGUUGCCAUAGGGUUGCUGCAUCCAGGAAGAAACCAGAGACUGAAGUUAACAGGUGAUCAGGAAAGAAGUGGGAGUAGGAUCUACAAGUCAAGAGUUUUACGAACAGGGUAGGUGGGAGGCCUGGGCUGGAUUCACAUAAUAGGACCAGAAGUAAAAUUAAAACAGCUGAAUAGUUCACGCUGGAAAGAACAAAGUGUCAGGCCUGGAGUUGGGAUGAGAGGAGUGGAGACAAGCAGCCAGGGCAAAGAGACAGAAUUGAA